UGGCAAUUUUUUAACCUGCCAGCGGCCCGGCCCGUUUGGACUUGUUGCAUGACAGGAUUGGUUACUAAGAUUCAGGCCCGAUUUUUUGGCGGGCCACGUGAGCUGAGAUUGUGAGAGAUUGGGCCAGAAGAGGGAUGAGAUCGGUGUUCUCCAUGGGACGUGCAGGGAUCCACACAGACAUCAUCACUUUGACUCUCGAGCUCUCACCGAUAAAAGAAACUAAGAGAAAUGGCGAGCACAAAAGUGAUCUCUUCCAGCUUUUUCUUCUUCUUAGAUCCGUCAAUUUCUGUCACAAAACUUCGCCAUGCAUGUUCUUCAUAUCCUCGUUUAAUCAAGGAAUAGUCUCUUCUCGGUUUCAUCUUCUUUCUUUCUUCAUAUCUUCGAUUCAUACGAUGAGAAAACAACUCAGCUUCUAAAUGUCACUAGCCAUCGAUUUGGAAAAGGGUCUCUGCUUAUUCAAAGCUCUGUUCACACUAACGGUCCCACCAUUGAUCUCGCCAUCAACAUCUCGUAUGUAACUCAUCUUAUGAUUGCAUCGACUAACUUGUUUGUUCUGCUUCUGGCCUUUGGUAAGAUCAUUUAACUUAUUUGUUCUGCUUCCUGCCUUUGUAGGUUUGCACAAAAACAUUUGUGUUUCUUUUUCUGAAGGAAGAACAUAAACAAAAAGUGAAUAUAUAUCAAUGCACUAAUAUUUGUCUCCUGUGAUGAUAAACAAAAUAUGUUUUUUGCUUCUUAUAUGCUGAGUUUCACCAGUAUUUGUCUAAAACUGCUAACAAACCAAUUUUGCUUGUAACAAUGAUUUAGAUUCCUUUAUGAUCAGUCAUGACUAAUGUUUGUAAACAAGUUUUGCUAAUGAAUAGUACUUGUAACUGGUGACCAAGAAUUGAAGAAUAGUUAUUCAUUUUCAUUCCUUUAAUUGUAAAAGAAUUAAAAAAACAAGUUUCUUACUUAUUAAAUUUGAUAUGGAAUAACCAUUCCUCAUCAUUCCCAAAAUUUUAUUAUCAUCCAUUCUUUUCCUAUUUGUUCAUAGUGUUCCCGAGAUGGUUACUAGUUAGACCCUAAGAUUUUUAAUAUUCAAAUUUUUUCGUUACCUAUUUUAAUACACCAAUUUUAUUUAUUUUAACUCAAAAUACUAAUACCUUUCAAAUGAAAUUAAAAUCUCCAAAUUUUAAGAAAAAAAUAAAAAAUUUCUACUUUUAUUUAAAGAUCUAAGAAAGAAGGUAAUAAAUUAGGGAAAAUUUUAUAAUUUAAUUUUAAAGGAAAAUAAGUAAUUUUGUUUUCUAAUUCAUAAAACAAACUACAAACUUUUAUUACAAAAUUGAAGAUUAUAAAAAAUUCAGUUUAUUUUAUAUUUCAAAUAUAAAAUAAAAUUAUAAAUUUUUAGAUUAUUUUGUAAAUUUAAAGAUUUUUUAAAUUUUUGUUUUAAAUCUAUUAGUAUUUUAAGCAAAUUUUGGGUGUUAAAAUGAACAUAUUUUUUUAAAAAUGUGUAUAUUAAAUGAGAAAAUAAUUAAUUUGGGUAGUAAAUUCGAUAACGAAAAAUUUAUAUAUCAAAAGACUUAACAAAAUUUAGUUGAGAUAUUUUAUGUAAUUUUUCCAUAUGUGAAUAUUUAAAUUCAUCUAUUACGUAUAAUAAAGGAAAAAUAUAUGAUAGACAAUAUGGAUUUCAAAAGUACAAGAAAUAAAGUUAACGAUUAACUUAUCAAAUAAAAUUUAAAAUUUAGAUAAUAUAAAUAUGUAUAAAUAUUUAAUUUUGAUGGGGGGAAUGAGAAGAAAUAAAACAAGAAACAUGAUAUACUUUAGUUUUUUCACUAAUUACCCCUAUCUUUCAAAGUGUUUGAAUUAGUGCGUAAGGGUAUAUCCAUAUUUUUACAACCUAACACAUUGCAUGAUUUUUUUCUAUUUGUUUCUUUAUUAAUCAUUAUUAUGAAAAAAAUAAUAUAUUGAAAGAUUCUUAUAUUAAUGGUGUUUAUCUAUCCAUUGCCUUUUCUUAUAAAAUAAUAAUAAUUAUGCGAAUAUUUCUUUUAGAAAUAUCAAAUGUAUUCUACCUAUUUAUGUUACAUAAAGUUUAAUCUUUUUUGUGCUGUGAGGCUUUCAAUAUAUGUAAUUUAUUCUUUCCAGAUUUUCUUGCUAUAUUCUCUACUUUUUAAUAUUUAAAUAAAAAUUAAAAGUAAGCAAAUAUAACUGUUAACAAGUCUGUUUAAAUGCAAAACAUAUUGUUUGAACUAAUUUCCAAAAUUUAUUAGAUAUUUGAAAAAAAAAAUUAUAAUUUUUUUUAAAUAAGAAAAUAAUGAAAAUUAGAACAGUAUAUAAAUUUUUGGUUAUAAAUAUAUUGUUUAAAUAAUUUUCUGCGGGGCCCAUAGGUUAUCAGCAAAAUUAAAUGGAUGCGAGUGUACUUUUUCUUCUUGUGAGUCAUGCAGAUCAAUUUUUGAGUCAAAAGAAUGACUUAACCCACGGCGGGCGGAUCUGGCACGGUGAAUUUGACCCGCUUUUCAACAUUAACGCUCUAUAAUUUGGAAUUCCGUAUGAUCUUUCAUAUUUUUAGUAAAGUUGAAUAAUAUAUAUAGACAUGAAAUUACAAAUAUUUUACACGUGUAAGUAAAAUUUGGAAGGAAAUGAAAAGGUAAAUCAAAAUCUAGUUAAAGUUAUAAGAGUUGAUAACUAUCUAAGACACUUUUGCCAAUUUUUUGACAUUCUAAGGCACAAUGUGCUUAAAGCACAUUCCCGAAUUCCAACACAUUUUAUGACUGAAAUGUCCCUGGUCCGCGAACUGGAGACAAGUUCAAUAAAUUCAUAUUUUAUUCUUUAGUUCAGUAACUUGCUGGAGUUAUAAAGGUAGGUGUAUGGAAUAGAGUGUCGAGUAUCAACCGUUAGAUUAAAAGUUUUUUAUUUAAACAGAUGGUCGAGAUGGAUUGUAGGGUUUGAGUACGAGAAAGUAGAGAUGGGUUUGUUCAUGUAAUAAAUGCGUCAAUGUUCUCUUGUUUUUUUGUGGGAUAAGCAAGGAUUCAGUGGUGAAGGCUUGGAAAGGUACAAACUUUAUGUUCUCUUGUUUGUAUGUUGGAUGAUGUCUGAUAAAGUGUUUUGUUUGUAUAUCUUUAGAAUAUCUGAUAUUUAUCAUUUGAAUUUUUUACAAUCAUCUGAUUCAUAUGUCCUGUGGUCAUGAAUAACUUUUGUGCAAACAUCGCUGUGGACAUGGAUGAGAUGGCUGACAUUUGUGCAAAUCAUUUGAAUUUGUACAAGCAGAGGAAAAAGAUGUUUUGUGGACGUGUACGACUUUUGAGCAAAAACCAUGAUACUAGUCAAGAAGGUUGCAAUGUAUGUUACUUAGCAUCUAGUUAAUGAUACAACUUUGAGUAGUGGAAA